rnacentral:rRNA from 1 species
GACGAACGCUGGCGGCGUGCUUAACACAUGCAAGUCGAACGAAGUGGCGAACGGGUGAGUAACGCGUAAUUAACCUGCCCUUCAGAGGGGGACAAAAGUUGGAAACGACUGCUAAUACCGCAUACUGAAGGAGGGGAUUGCGUCUGAUUAGCUAGUUGGAGGGGUAACGGCCCACCAAGGCGCGGAUCAGUAGCCGGACUGUGAGGAUGAACGGGCACAUUGGGACUUAGCAACGGACCAGACUCCUACGGGAGGCAGCAGUUGGGAAUCUUCCGCAAUGGACGAAAGUCUGACGGAGCAACGCCGCGUGAGUGAUGACGGCCUUCGGGUUGGAAAGCUCUGUUAAUCGGGACGCGGUACCGGAAUAGAAAGCCACGGCUAACUACGUGCCAGCCGCCGCGGUAAUUC